GUUCAUGAUCCAUCCUGGAGGUCUUUUCCAACCUUAAUGAUUCUAUGAUUCUGUGAUCUUUCCAGUACUCCCUGAUUUUCCCACUCUCUAGCCCUGCCCCAUGGCUGUUGUUCCACAGGGCAGUAAGGCUUGCUGAAACAUAAGGUUUUAAUAAACUUUUGCACAACCUUCUCCACUCAGUUUCCCAGAAGCACUAAGCCUCACCCAAGGUUUUAGUCUCAAUUAUCCCAACAAUGGGAACAAAUUGUUCUGCAGAGAUGUCGGUGGACACACAUUUACUCCUGUGUCAUAUCUUGUACAAUAGCUGGGAAGGGAGUUUAAAGCAGUGUUAGUUGGAUAAUUGAAGACAGACUUGGGUCAGAUUUUCAGCUCUGCUCUGCUCUUUUCAAGUAUUUCUUUUUUUAAUGUUUCAAAGGUGGCAGGACGUUUCGGGACCUGAACUGUGGAAAGCCAAGAGGACAGCACAACUGCGAGGUGGAAGAACAGCCCCAGACAGUUCAUCUGGAGCCACCACAGGGAAUCCAGGCAGGAUGAACUUUGAAGCCAUUUUCUGCCAAUGUGCCUUUGCCACCGGCCCUGAACCCAAAAGCCAAAAGGAAGAUGCAAAAUGCUGUGACGUGGGAUGGAUAGCUGCGAUUUACCAGCUGGACCCAAAGGCCACAAAUCACCAGGUCUGCAGCUAACACUGCUCAAGAGAUGCUUUGUAUUCUCUGGCACACGGACAAUCCCUGCACAGAGGAAAGAAAUAUCCCCCCUGGGUCAAGAGAAGCAUAAAAAGAAAGAUGAGAGUGAUACACACGUCUAAUUCAGGAGCAAUAUUUUGUGGGUCUUCAUAUUUACUGCUUGGGAAAGUGUGAGGCAUUGGUAAAACUGCAUCUGGAUUAUCUCCUCCAGGCCUGGUUGGUCCUGGCCAUGAAUGAGUCAUUCAGACCAAGCAGGUGCAGUGAAGUGCCAGGACAUGGACGGGAGGAUGGAGAACUUGUCAUCCAAGGGGAGGCUGUAGAUCUUGGCUUUUUUAGCUCAGCACAACAGUGGCCGAGGGGGAAAAUGAGUGCUGUUGCACAUGAAAGGGAAAAAUAGCUGGGAGCAAAAAGAAACACUGGAGUGAAAGAAAAAAAUGUUGGCACAAGAACAAAUAGGUUUUAAUUGGCCUGGAGUAAAUUUAGUCUGGAAAUUAGAUGAAGUUUCCUAAGCAUCAGAUCAGCAAAGUCCUGGAACAGGCUUCCAGGGGCUGUGAAAACAGAGCUUGCUCAGAUGACAAGUCAGUUUAGCUGCAGUGGUGGCUAUGAGAACAGGGAGCUCUGCCUGGUGAGCCAGCAGGCUAGCACCCUUGGCACCCAUGUUUCUAAGGAGAUAGGGGAGACACAGUCCCAGAGAAUGAUCUUUCAACCAAAGGAUUGGUAGUGCUUGGACCAUAGCUGUAAGGUAGAGCUGUAAGGCACUGGCAGAUAAUUUGCAGAUGAAGAAAUACUCCACCAUGGGGAACUCUUUGGUCCAUCUUCCUUUUAAGCUUGCAAGGUCUCUCUGCUGCUCUAAAAAUGUGAUUUAUGCCUAAUCUGGUUAGCUGUGACCCAUCUGCCCUGUCUGUCCUUUCAUCCCUGCUCAGCCUGCCAACCAGGUGAGAUACUUGGCUUCCAGGAAAGAGACCAGAACCAGGAAAAUCACCAGCCCAGACUGAUAAACUACAGCUAUGAUAAACUUAUUUUCUGUUCCUUGUGACUUGGACCUGCAAGGUUAACCUGGAGAGUCUCGUGACAACAUUUGCAUGGGUGUAAAUGUCCCUAUGUCCUUACUUAUUCAAGAAUUACCAAGAUUAGAGGGACACAUAAUCUGAACUUGGACUUCAGCUGCUCUGGAGUUUGCUGGGGUCAAGGCAGAUGCAAUGUUUUGCCUUGAGUCCAUCUCCUCUGAAUGCCUCACUGCCCAGGUACUCCCCCUUUAAAUCAGCUUGAUGUGAUUGCCUGUAAUCACACAACAAAAUCCCAGAAGCCAAGGCAAUGGACCCAGAAGCCCUAAAUGCAUGUCUUUGAUUUGCAUCUUUUUGAUGCCACCUGGCACCCCUCAGAUAAACUUCUGUAAUUAUAGAAUCACAGAAUCAUUAAAGUUGGAAAAGACCUCCAGGAUCAUCAAGUCCAACCAUCAACCCAACACCACCAGGUCUCCUAAAGCAUGCCAUAGUGCCACGUCUACAUGUCUUUUAAAUACUUCCAGGGACGGUGACUCCCCCACCUCUCUGGGCAGCCUGUGCCAGGGCCUGACCGCUCUGGCAGGGAAGGCAUUUUCCCUCACAUCCAACCUAAACCUCCCCUGACGCAGCUUGAGGCCAUUUCCUCUCAUCCUGUCACUGUGAGGCUCUCCUCUUCUCUCACUGUGGCCCAGGGCACAAGACUCACCAUUGGAGGUGCAGCCAAGUAACCUGCCCAGCUGCUUGGAGGAAUGUCAAGCUGAAGUGUUCUCCAUUGUUCCCUGUUAUGGGUUGGACCAGAGUGUUUUUGUGGUAACUGAGAACCAAUAGAUAGGAAGGACAGGUUGUGAGCUGCUCUGUUUCCACAUGCUCUGCCUACCCUGGGCUUUCAGGUUGUUGAGUCAAAGGCAGACGACAGCUCCGUGUGACAUCAUGAAGAAGUACCGAGCUGCCCGGGGCCAUCUCAGCCAUCCUCCUGCUGCAGUCACCACCAAGCACACACAUGCCCUGGGAGCCUUGGCACAUGGAUGGUGUGCAGCCCAGGAGAGGGGUUGGAACAGUACUCCUCUGGCCCAGCUUGGUCUCCUUCCUUGGAAUUCUUCAGCUAACACAAUGAAGAUUGAGACCAUGAAAACGCACUCUGCUGUGAGAGUCCCACUCCUCCUUUCUCAGGAGGGAAACACCAGAAAAGACCCCAGAAUUCCCCAUUCCUACAGAUGUUCAAGGCCAGGCUGCACAGGGCUCUGAGCGACCUGAUCGAGUUGAAGAUGUCUCUGCUCACUGCAGGGGGUUGGAGUAGAUGGCCUCUAAAGGUCCCUUCCAACCCAAACCAUACUAUGACUCUAGGAGUCUAGUUUUUAAAACUUAUUUAUUUCAAAUAAUUAUGUUAUUAAUAAUUAUUAUUAACCAUCAUUAAUAUGAGAAAUAUCCAUUCACCUUUCUCUAAGGAAUAUUGAGAUGCAUUUUGCAGAAAAGCUGAUAUGUUUUAGGUGCCUGUAUCACAUAGACACUGAUGGAAUCUAGCCCUACAUCUCAUCGAGGCCGUGCAGUUUGUUCUCCUGUGAAGACACCACAGGCAGUUUAUCCUCCUGACAGGCUGUUGUUUUAUUAUGACAUUUUUCCCCCUUUGCAUUGCAGCCAACAAAUCCAAAUUCCUCAGUAAAAUUUGGUCCAGGGCGCCAACUGCAAGGGGUAAAACGGUGUCAUAAAUAACUUCCAGGGAGCGUAGGGGGUGGAAGAUGAGUCGAACAGAAGCAAAGAUGCAGUUGUAACACUCAAUCAAGUGUAAAUCUCAAUCAAGAUAUCACUGUCCAAUCUCUACAGUCACCAUUCAAGCCACCCUUCCCUUUGCAGGACCUGGGUGAGACCAUCUGAGCUGGACGCUGAUCUCAAAGUCCCGCCUCGUCUCCCCCAGCCAGAAUCGCCUGGAGUUAUGAGAUGGAGCCUGCUGGAUUGUAUAAAUGUUACAUAGUUUAGUGAGUGUAUGAAAGAGGAGUCAGUCUCGAGAGCACGUGGGCAUCAGCUGCUGUUCCUCCUGAGUGCCUGGGACUGCAGAUCUGUGAAAUGAGCAAAAGGGGAGCUUUUUUUUUUGAAAGAUCCAGCUAUUCAGAUGAAAUUUGCCAGGUGUGGAUUUGAAGUCCUAAUUAAGCUCUCACUGUGGUCAAUAGGAUCUUUAUCACAGACUGCAGUGGAAGUCAGACCCUAAACAACCAGCUCAUUUUAACACACAGGCCCUUCUUCUAUCACAUCUUUAGUGAAGCAUACUCUUGAAGUAGGUGUGCAGUUCAGCUGAUGGUCCUUUGGGUAUCAAAGGAUACACGAUCCAUCUACCCUCAAAGAGCAGUAGCACGUGCCAUUAUGGAGACCCCCAAGGAGCCUCCAGCUGGUGGAAACAGAUGACAGUCCCAUGUCAAUCAGCUAGUCUGUGGAGUCAUGCCCAUUUCCAGCAGCUCUGGAUCUGGCUCUGAUGGCAGCCGAACCUCUCCGCCUCUGGGUAAUUGAGGGUUGUCACCAUUCCCGGAGGAUUAGAUCUGAAUCUCAUUGUGCUGGGGCCAGGGCAAGCACUGAGCGAUCCUGUGACCCAGCAUUUGCUGUCGUCUCCAUCUGAACCUUCAUUAAGGUGCAAGAUGGCCUCAAGCUGCGUCAGGGGAGGUUUAGAUUGGAUAUUAGGAAAAAUGUCUUCACUGCAAGAGUGGUCAGGCCCUGGCACAGGCUGCCCAGAGAGAUGGGGGAGUCACCGUCCCUGGGGGCAUUCAGAAAACAUGUAGACGUGGCACUUCAGGGCCUGUUUUAGGAGACAUGAUAGUGUUGGGCUGACGGUUGGACUUGAUGAUCUUUUCCAACCUUGAUGAUUCUAUGAUUAACUUUCAAUGUUGUCAUUAUGAUAUUGCUGGAGGGAAUCGCUGCUGUCUUGGGCAGAGAAGAUAAGUCAGCCAGAGAGCUGAGUAGGAGGGAAGCACUCAAGAAAAUUAUUGCGGUGUAUGCCUGUCAUUGCAUGUGCUCUUUCCUAAUUUUGCUCUGAGAAGCAUCUCCAACCUCUCCUCCACAGCCACCACCCUCGAGUGACCUCCUCCUGUCUCACAGCUUCACCUCCCUGCUCUUCUCAUACAAUAUGCUGCUCCACACCUUGGGCCCAGCCUUGCGUGGACUUCUCCACCAUCGCUGUGUCCAAGGCUACCCCCACCGUCCUCCCUGUCUCUGAGACUUGUUGGCCUGGAGCCCUGGGAGAGUAAUUUCUCCAAUAUCUUCUGUUCACACAGUGAUCUCCCCCUCCCCAUGUUCCAGGUCCUCCCACCUAAUUCAACUCCCUUCUGCACAUUAGGCUUCCUCCAGAAGACUCAGCAACACUAACCCCUCAUCAGUUAAAUGCCCUCUCUGUCCCAGCAACACGUAAGUGUGGAAGGAUAGAUUAAAAUCAUGCUAAAUGAAUACCUGAUGUGGCCUUCCCAGAGUGCCUGUUCUUGUAAAACCAGAAAACUUGGCUGCUGAACUCUUUGGGGCAGGAUCUGUCUUAUAUUUAUAUCCUGUAAAUUUUCAAAUCCAUUGCUGGUGCUAACAA